rnacentral:lncRNA from 1 species
CAACAGGAAGUAUACAGAAUGGUGUCGUCUGCGUAAAGGUGGAUCAGAGAAUCACCAGCAGCAAGAGCGACAUCAUUUAUGUAUACAGAGAAAAGAGUCAGCCCGAGAAUUGAACCCUGUGGCACCCCAUAGAGACUGCCAGAGGUCCGGACAACAGGACCUCCGAUUUGACACACUGAACUCUGUCUGAGAAGUAGUUGGUGAACCAGGCGAGGCAGUCAUUUGAGAAACCAAGGCUAUUGAGUCUGCCGAUAAGAAUGCGGUGAUUGACAGAGGAGAAUGAGAACCUGCGCAGUCGGGUGCAGCAGCUGGAGAGUUCCCUGCAGCAGCGGGCUGAUCAGUUGUCUCACCUGGAGCGACAGAGCGAACAAAGCGAGUGGAGGAGAGGAGAGGAGCAGAGGAGAAGAGAGGAGAGAGUGAGGGAGCUGCAGCUAGAGCUGGAUAAAGAGAGGGCCAAAGAGCCACAGGUCAAGAUUGUCACUCAAACUGUGGAGGUGGAGUCACCGGCGACGCUGAGGCAGUUGGCUGAGGCCAGAGAGAGGAACGAGCAGCUGUCAGAGAAACUGACCAAUCAGAACGAGAAGUGCAGACAACUGGAGGAGCACAUCAGGAAGUCAGAUGAAUUCAGCUGUAAUCUGCAACACAAGAUUGCAGCGUACGAGCGGGAGAUCAGUGUGCUGCAGGAGGAACUGCUGAAGGAGAUAGGUCACCUGGAGGAGAAGAAGGAGGAGGCUGUAAAGGCUGCAGCGACCUGCUCCGUAG